rnacentral:rRNA from 1 species
CAGUUGUGAAAGUUUGCGGCUCAACCGUAAAAUUGCAGUUGAUACUGGGUGUCUUGAGUACAGUAGAGGCAGGCGGAAUUCGUGGUGUAGCGGUGAAAUGCUUAGAUAUCACGAAGAACUCCGAUUGCGAAGGCAGCCUGCUGGACUGUAACUGACGCUGAUGCUCGAAAGUGUGGGUAUCAAACAGGAUUAGAUACCCUGGUAGUCCACACAGUAAACGAUGAAUACUCGCUGUUUGCGAUAUACAGUAAGCGGCCAAGCGAAAGCGUUAAGUAUUCCACCUGGGGAGUACGCCGGCAACGGUGAAACUCAAAGGAAUUGACGGGGGCCCGCACAAGCGGAGGAACAUGUGGUUUAAUUCGAUGAUACGCGAGGAACCUUACCCGGGCUUGAAUUGCAACUGAAUGAUGUGGAGACAUGUCAGCCGCAAGGCAGUUGUGAAGGUGCUGCAUGGUUGUCGUCAGCUCGUGCCGUGAGGUGUCGGCUUAAGUGCCAUAACGAGCGCAACCCUUAUCGAUAGUUACCAUCAGGUGAUGCUGGGGACUCUGUCGAGACUGCCGUCGUAAGAUGUGAGGAAGGUGGGGAUGACGUCAAAUCAGCACGGCCCUUACGUCCGGGGCUACACACGUGUUACAAUGGGGGGUACAGAAGGCAGCUACACGGCGACGUGAUGCUAAUCCCGAAAGCCUCUCUCAGUUCGGAUUGGAGUCUGCAACCCGACUCCAUGAAGCUGGAUUCGCUAGUAAUCGCGCAUCAGCCACGGCGCGGUGAAUACGUUCCCGGGCCUUGUACACACCGCCCGUCAAGCCAUGAAAGCCGGGGGUACCUGAAGUGCGUAACCGCAAGGAGCGCCCUAGGGUAA